rnacentral:rRNA from 1 species
AUUGAACGCUGGCGGCAGGCCUAACACAUGCAAGUCGAGCGAGCGGCGGACGGGUGAGUAAUGUAUGGGGACUGCCCGAUAGCGGGGGAUAACUACUGGAAACGGUAGCUAAUACCGCAUACUAUCGGAUAACCCAGAUGGGAUUAGCUAUGAGGUGAGGUAAUGGCUCACCUAGGCGAAGAUCCCUAGCUGGUCUGAGAGGAUGAUCAGCCAUACUGGGACGGAGACACGGCCCAGACUCCGACGGAGGCAGCAGUGGGGAAUGUUGCACAAUGGGGGCAAGCCUGAUGCAGACAUGCCGCGUGUAUGAAGAAGGCCCUAGGGUUGUAAAGUACGUUCAGUCGGGAGGCGUUACCGACAGAAGAAGCACCGGCUAACUCCGUGCCAGCAGCCGCGGUAAUUC